ACUACUGGCCUUCUUUCUGAUGGCGAUGUGUCAGAAGGAUUAUCUGCUUCCAGACUGCUGUUCACCACAGGUAACGGAAAGCACGGAAAGUGAAACCAUGGAUCAAGGGAGAUUACUGUAAUGCUAUAGCAAAGAUUAUCAAAGACUCCUGCAGGGCAAAGAGCAAUUCUAUCCAUUUCUGCUGAUUAUGCAGAUCUACUGAUCUACUGUAUCAGGUUAAUCGUCCAUUUUCACACAAAGGUCUUAUCAACAUCAGCCUUAUUUAAAUGUGUUUAUUCCUCCAACCAAAUAAACUCAGGAUUAACACUAAUUUCCAAGAUGGGCAGAAAUGAAGUAAAGAAUCUGAGACUCUGGUGUCUCGAUUCCUUUAGGACAGAUGGCUGGUCUUGGAAGUAUUUAUAACCAGAUGACCACUGCUCUAUUCAAGAAUUACACUAUGCCACAGCCAACUUUUGAUUAUUUAUGUUAACUGAAGGCAGAAGCAUAGAUGAUCAAAACCAAUCUGCAAAUCACUUCUAAUUGGCUUUGAAAUGUCUAUUAAUUUUUUAAAGAGAUUUAUUUGAUUAUCUUUUCCUCGAGAUUAUAUGAAAAAUGACUUGUGUUCCCUGGGUCCAAGCCAAAUGAUGGGAGCAUAACCGGAAGCUGGACCCAUUCAACAUGGGCAUAAAAAUACACCACAAAUAAAAUGGAAAGCAGAAUAAUUAUAAGAGAUAAAUGAGAUGUGACUACGGGUAUUAAAAAUAAAAUAUUUGAAAGCAUGA